GGAUGAAUCACGCGCUUGGCCCACACAUGGGGCUCUGGGAAGGACGGCGACUUUGCUGGUGCCACAGGAGGUGUGGGGGGGCGCCCACCGUCUGAACACGUCUGUCUGCCACAGGAGGUGUGAGGGGGCUCCCACCAUCUGAACACGUCUGUCUGCCACAGGAGGUGUGGGGGGCGCCCACCGUCUGAACACUUCUGUCUUCCACGGGAGGUGUGAUGAUAAUAACUGUGGAUUAUUCUAUGUGGCUACAGCAGGUUGACAUUCCCUUUGGCAAAGCCCACAUCUAAGAUGAUGUCAUCUUAGAUGCUUCUUAGAUGCUGCCCAAAUACACAUGGUCAACAGAAACGAACAGCAAUGUUUUAAACCAAAGCUUGUUUAUUCUGGUCAACAUUGGGUGGUCAAAAUAAAUAAUUUUGUAACGGAGUUACCGUUCUUUUAAAGUACUGAAUAAACUGAGUCACUUUCAACCAAUAAACUACUUCUUUUUUAAACAAACGUAUUCAACACUUUCAGACUGAUUAAUAAUUUAAAGGUACGCAUAUGCCAUUCUGUAAUCUGCCAUACAAUAAUGGCCCAUCAUGAUUAUUCUAAAUCGACUCCCAAACACCUGCACACCAGGAUGGUAUACACUAGGAUUAACAUGUAAAAUGUUAUCUUAAAUGGUUCAUGAUAAUCACAUUUGUGUCAAAUCACAUUUAGUUUGCAUGACAUGACCCUCACUGCAUAAAAAGGCAUUAGGUUUUAAUAUGUGAAAGUGUAGUGUGUGUGCGUAUGUGACUUUGUCUGAUCUGUUACACCUCGUGACCUCCUGAUCCAAGCAUGCUGCAAGUUGAUCCUUCAUGCUAACCCUCCAGCAUUCAGACGUCAAUGCUGCAGUUAGAGAACUGCCCUCCUGGGUUGCAUUUGCCUUUUGUUCUUGUGUCCAGCAUUUCCUCUGUCUGGUCACAGUCCUUUCUUUUGUUUCUGUUUCCAUACUGAGGUGAUUGUUUUAUUAAACAUUCAUUAUGAUAUUCACUGACUAUCCUUAGAGACUGAGGUUUUUUUCUGUAGAAAUUGAAAUGUGGUCUCUCUUGUUGCUACCAAAAUAUAGUCCCUUGUGAGUACAAAAAUGUACUCACAACUGUACAGAAAUAGAAGCGCUGAAUUUAGAGUCAAAUAAACUGUCAGAAGUCAUGGGGUCAUGAGUCAAUACGGAGCGAUCUUCCCAGAAGGAGGCCACACCGUGUCCUUCAUUUUAAACAGCUUGAAGCAAUUGCACCAAACUAAAGUGAUUGGAUAUGUACAUAAAGCUGCUUGAAAGGUGAAAACUGGUGAAACUAAGAAGUCAUCUUCUCUGGGACUACUGAGGACGUGACAGAGCAUCACUUCACCAAAGGCCCAGAGCGUCACCUGCUCAGCACUCAGUGCACUCCUGCCUUUUGUUUUUCUGCCACUGUUUGAGGACAACAUUAGUUCUCAUUGAAGGUGUAAGAUACACUCUGACCUUUUCUCUUCUUUAGAAUUUCGUUCAGUAUUUCAUUUUUACGUUUAUUAAUUUUCUCGACUCUCCACCAGAGUGGUGCAACAGAGACAGAGCACACACAGAUGGUUCACACUUACACACGUCUGUCACCGGUCCAUCUGCAUCUGAUUGUGAAUGCCACAAUAAUGCGAUCGUCAUAGCCACUGUUCCAGAGCCGUGAGCAGGACUCUACACGUCCAUGAAGAACUCUAUCGGGGGCCGACCACGUCUGGACCAACAACAGGCGACCACAGCAUGUUGUCCAGACAAACCUCAUACUGUGAGAAAGAGAAAACACAAGAGAGAAUGUCAGACAGAAAGCAUAGGACUCCAUGUGAUAAAUAACCCCAUUAAAACAUUUUAAUUCAGUCAAUUCUCUUUUUUCUUUAGUCAAUUUUGGUCCAGAUCCAAGGAGGACAGCUACUUUGCUUUGUGUGGCUGAAGACAAAGGUAGGCAUGGCACAGGUGAUACAGGUGAGCACAAGGAAGCCCCACCACCUGCGGACACAGCAGAGCUGUAACCUCGUCAUGUACAGGCAGGCUAGUGGACAAGGACCCAGGGAGACUUCACAGGACGACACGUACCAGCCUGGUCACUGAGAAAGACCAGCGGGAGUGUGAAUCACUGUUUAUGUUAAACCUCUGUUUCCUCCACAGGUACAGUAGUCUGGCACUUAGCUAAUACCUCAAUGGCAAUGUUUCUAUUGCCUGCUGGGUUUGGCAUCAGCAUUUACCAUCGAAUUCACCGUUAACUUCCACAUGCACAAACAUUGUGAUUUUUUCGUGCCAAACUGGAUCCAGAGAGUGCAGUGAAAGUGAAAAAUUGAAGAAUGUUGUAUUUGUAAAUGCUGGUGUAUGUAAACACGUCCAAAAGGGUUUUUAACCUGCAGAGGGCGCCAAAGAUUGGAAACAACGUAGAAGGUUUCUCAAUAGGCAUUGAGUUCAAACAUUCUGUAAUCCUUUCUGUCAUGGUGUUGUCUGGCACUGACUCUUAUUAGACGUGUGACACUUGUGUGACACAAUGCACACAUUUUUUUUUUCUCCCCAGAAGAAAAUAUCCUGUGACUAAUGUCUCCGGAAACGGAGAUUGAGAAAUAAAUCAGUUAUUCUACCACACCCUGUGGACACAUACGAUACAGUGAAUUAUCUUCAAAGGCUACUACUCGUUAUUUAAAA